rnacentral:rRNA from 1 species
UACGUAGGGUGCGAGCGUUGUCCGGAAUUAUUGGGCGUAAAGGGCUCGUAGGCGGUCUGUCGCGUCGGGAGUGAAAACUCAGGGCUUAACCCUGAGCCUGCUUCCGAUACGGGCAGACUAGAGGUAUGCAGGGGAGAACGGAAUUCCUGGUGUAGCGGUGGAAUGCGCAGAUAUCAGGAGGAACACCGGUGGCGAAGGCGGUGGUCUGGGCCGGCACUGACGCUGAGGAGCGAAAGCGUGGGGAGCAAACAGG